rnacentral:misc_RNA from 1 species
GAUGAAGAACGCAGCGAAAUGCGAUAAGUAAUGUGAAUUGCAGAAUUCAGUGAAUCAUCGAAUCUUUGAACGCACAUUGCGCCCGCCAGUAUUCUGGCGGGCAUGCCUGUUCGAGCGUCAUUUCAACCCUCAGGCCCCCAGUGCCUGGCGUUGGGGAUCGGCGCGGCGCCCUCCGGGGCGCUGCCGGCCCCGAAAUUCAGUGGCGGUCUCGCUGUAGCCCUCCUCCGCGUAGUAGCACAACCUCGUGGCCUGGAGCUCGGCGGUGGCCAUGCCGUAAAACACCCCACUUCUGAAAGUUGACCUCGGAUCAGGUAGGAAUACCCGCUGAACUUAAGCAUAUCAAUAAGCGGAGGA